rnacentral:lncRNA from 1 species
GAAUAUGCUCCAUACUGAUGAAUGGGCUUGAAGAAAGAAAAAAAUAUGGAUGAGAAGAAAAAGUUGAUGAAGAGAAAAAGGAGGAGAGGAAAGGAGCUGCCAGUGAGAAAUGAUUUGGAGGAGAAGCAAAAGAGGAUAGGAAGGAAGAAAAGAAGAAAAAAUAGGUUGCUGACAAAAAGGGAUGGAAGUGGAAGGAGCCAUUGUAGAAAAGGAUGGCUCAUGGA